rnacentral:lncRNA from 1 species
UCUCAAAGAUUUUAUGGGUAUAUCUUCUGUAAACCCUUAGGAGACAAAACUCCUCUUGUAGAGAUCGUCUACGAGUUUAACGGGUUGGUGAACCUAAAAUCACCCGUCACGCCUACGAAAAGGAGCCUAGGACUUGCAUUUAGUUUUCUUAGUUUAUUUCUUUUCUUUUGAUUUUUACUCGAGGACGAGCAAAAGAUAGGUAUGGG